UUCGACCUUGUGUUCAGAGAUGCACUGCCAGCCAGUUGUGUCUGCAUCAUUUGCAUCAUAGCAUGUUUAUUUUCAAAAAAAUACGCAAUAUAAAAAUAAAAAUAAAAAGAGAAAAAAAAGAGAAGGGAAAAACUAAUCUCUGCAUGCAUAUCAUUUCUCAGGUACAUUCCAGAGCUUGUUCACUGAUAGAGAUGGCAAUAGUCCCAGAGCCAAAGCGGAAGACCUGUUCCUACAGCUUUCAUCGUGAGCCGUUGAC
rnacentral:lncRNA from 1 species